rnacentral:siRNA from 1 species
UGAAAGUUGCCUAACUUGAUUC